GUCCACGCUGUAAACGAUGUGUGCUAGACGUUGGGGGGUUGCCCUCCGGUGUCGCAGCUAACGCUUUAAGCACACCGCCUGGGGAGUACGGUCGCAAGAUUAAAACUCAAAGGAAUUGACGGGGGCCCGCACAAGCGGUGGAGCAUGUGGUUUAAUUCGACGCAACGCGAAGAACCUUACCAGCUCUUGACAUGGGUAGUAUGGACCUGGGCGACUGGGUCCUUCAGUUCGGCUGGCUACCACACAGGUGCUGCAUGGCUGUCGU
rnacentral:rRNA from 1 species